rnacentral:lncRNA from 1 species
UGUAAUACCAAUUAUUUGCCCUGCCCAAUCAAUAAUAAAAUACAAUAGCAGGCCCAAUAAAAUUAAAACUCAAUAGCCAAUUUCAACCCUAGUCCAACAGAAAAUGGCCCAAAACACCAGCAAGAAGCCUAGGCGCAGCAGCUCCCACACGCACGCCGCAACAGCGCUCGCACACCGUGUUUGUCGCUCCGCGCCCGUCGCGCGCACUCCACGGUCACCAAACCUGCGAAAAAGGGGGACACAAGCACAGCAAAUAACAGAAAGAAGUGGGGUUUUUGAUUUUUUUUCAGAUUUUUAGUUUUAAUCGGCUAUAUAAAGCCGAUGAAAGUCUGUAACAAAGGGGGGGGAGACAGGAAAAAAGGGAGAAAAAGGAGAUUGUAUUGAAAAAUAUUAAGAAAUACGAAAACAAGAUUCAAGGAAUCCCGAAGGUUUUGUUCAUUUUUUGAGACUUCUUCUUUCUUUUUCUAUUUCUAUUUUAUGUUUUUGUUCUUUUUAAAAAUAAUAAUAAAGGAAGAAGGAGGAGUUGCUUACCUUUCGAUCGGCG